rnacentral:tRNA from 1 species
GGUUAUUUAGUUUAUAAAAAACGUAUGUUUUGAAAACAUAAAAAAAGGAAGGAACUCUUAAUAAUCU